AGGUUAAGUUACAAAGGGCGCACGGUGGAUGCCUUGGCACUAGGAGCCGAUGAAGGACGGAACUAAUACCGAUAUGCUUCGGGGAGCUAUAAGUAAGCUUUGAUCCGGAGAUUUCCGAAUGGGGGAACCCAGUACACAUCAGUGUAUUGCCUGCAAGUGAAUUCAUAGCUUGUCGGCGGCAGACGCGGGGAACUGAAACAUCUCAGUACCCGCAGGAAGAGAAAGAAAACUCGAUUCCCAUAGUAGCGGCGAGCGAAGUGGGAAGAGCCCAAACCGAGAAGCUUGCUUCUCGGGGUUGUAGGACUGGACAUUGGAGUUACCAAAGUUCGACGUAGUCGAAGUCAGCUGGAAAGCUGCGCCAUAGAAGGUGAAAGCCCUGUAAACGAAACGGCGGACCCUCCGUCCAGGAUCCUGAGUACGGCGGAACACGUGAAAUUCCGUCGGANNNGGGAGGACCAUCUCCCAAGGCUAAAUACUCCCUAGUGACCGAUAGUGAACCAGUACCGUGAGGGAAAGGUGAAAAGCACCCCGGAAGGGGAGUGAAACAGUUCCUGAAACCGUGUGCCUACAAUUAGUCAAAGCCCGUUAAGGGGUAAUGGCGUGCCUUUUGUAGAAUGAACCGGCGAGUUACGUUUGCCUGCGAGGUUAAGAUGAAAAGUCGGAGCCGGAGCGAAAGCGAGUCUGAACAGGGCGAAUGAGUAGGCAGAUGUAGACCCGAAACCAAGUGACCUACCCAUGACCAGGUUGAAGGUGUGGUGAAACACACUGGAGGACCGAACCCAUGUAUGUUGAAAAAUGCUGGGAUGAGUUGUGGGUAGCGGUGAAAUUCCAAACGAACUUGGAGAUAGCUGGUUCUCUCCGAAAUAGCUUUAGGGUUAGCCUCGGAGGAUGGAUCAUGGAGGUAGAGCACUGUUUGAACUAGGGGCCCAUCAAGGGUUACUGAAUUCAGAUAAACUCCGAAUACCAUCGAUCUUACUCCGGGAGUCAGACAGUGAGCGAUAAGGUCCAUUGUCGAAAGGGGAACAGCCCAGAUCACCAGUUAAGGUCCCUAAAUUUAUGCUAAGUGGAAAAGGAUGUGGCGUUGCACAGACAACUAGGAUGUUGGCUCAGAAGCAGCCACCAUUUAAAGAGUGCGUAAUAGCUCACUAGUCGAGUGGCACUGCGCCGAAAAUAUACCGGGGCUAAGCAUAAUACCGAAACUGUGGGUGCACCCGUAAGGGUGCGCGGUAGGAGAGCGUUCUAAGGGCGUUGAAGGUCGAUCGUGAGGACGGCUGGAGCGCUUAGAAGUGAGAAUGCCGGCAUGAGUAGCGAAAGAUCAGUGAGAAUCUGAUCCACCGUAUGACUAAGGUUUCCUGGGGAAGGCUCGUCCUCCCAGGGUUAGUCGGGAUCUAAGGCGAGGCCGCAAGGCGUAGUCGAUGACAAGCAGGUUGAGAUUCCUGCACUAGUUUAUUUUGUUUAAGCGAUGGAGGGACGCAGGAGGCUAAGGAAAGCGCACGGCUGGAAAAGUGCGUCCAAGCCGCAAGUCUGGUGGCGAGUGAAAUGCUUGCGACCAUAAGGACAAGCGGUGAUGGGGAGCGAAAUUAAAGUAGCGAAGUUCCUGAUGUCACACUGCCAAGAAAAGCUUCUAGUGAGAAAUAAACUACCCGUACCGCAAACCGACACAGGUAGUCGAGGAGAGUAUCCUCAGGUGAGCGAGCGAACUCUCGUUAAGGAACUCGGCAAAAUGACCCCGUAACUUCGGAAGAAGGGGUGCUGACCGCAAGGUCAGCCGCAGUGAAUAGGCCCAAACAACUGUUUAUCAAAAACACAGGUCUCUGCUAAAUCGAAAGAUGAUGUAUAGGGGCUGACGCCUGCCCGGUGCUGGAAGGUUAAGAGGAUGAGUUAGCGCAAGCGAAGCCCAGAAUUGAAGCCCCAGUAAACGGCGGCCGUAACUAUAACGGUCCUAAGGUAGCGAAAUUCCUUGUCGGGUAAGUUCCGACCCGCACGAAAGGCGUAAUGAUUUGGGCACUGUCUCAACGAGAGACUCGGUGAAAUUAUAGUACCCGUGAAGAUGCGGGUUACCCGCGACAGGACGGAAAGACCCCAUGGAGCUUUACUGUAGCUUGAUAUUGAGUGUUGGUACCGCUUGUACAGGAUAGGUAGGAGCCGUAGAGAUCGGAACGCUAGUUUCGAUGGAGGCGUUGGUGGGAUACUACCCUAGCUGUAUGAACACUCUAACCCGCGCCACUGAUCGUGACGGGAGACAGUGUCAGGUAGGCAGUUUGACUGGGGCGGUCGCCUCCUAAAAUGUAACGGAGGCGCCCAAAGGUUCCCUCAGAAUGGUUGGAAAUCAUUCGCAGAGUGUAAAGGUAGAAGGGAGCUUGACUGCGAGACUGACAAGUCGAGCAGGGACGAAAGUCGGGCUUAGUGAUCCGGUGGUUCCGUAUGGAAGGGCCAUCGCUCAACGGAUAAAAGCUACCCUGGGGAUAACAGGCUUAUCUCCCCCAAGAGUCCACAUCGACGGGGAGGUUUGGCACCUCGAUGUCGGCUCAUCGCAUCCUGGGGCUGUAGUCGGUCCCAAGGGUUGGGCUGUUCGCCCAUUAAAGCGGUACGCGAGCUGGGUUCAGAACGUCGUGAGACAGUUCGGUCCCUAUCCGUCGCGGGCGCAGGAAAUUUGAGAGGAGCUGUCCUUAGUACGAGAGGACCGGGAUGGACGUUCCGCUGGUGUACCAGUUGUGCCGCCAGGCGCAUCGCUGGGUAGCUAUGAACGGAAGGGAUAAACGCUGAAAGCAUCUAAGUGUGAAGCCCCCCUCGAGAUGAGAUUUCCCAUUCCUAUAUGGAAGUAAGACCCCUGAGAGAUGAUCAGGUAGAUAGGCUGGAAGUGGAAGUGCAGCGAUGCAUGGAGCGGACCAGUACUAAUCGGUCGAGGACUUAACCAAG
rnacentral:rRNA from 1 species